rnacentral:rRNA from 1 species
CACGUAGGGUGCGAGCGUUGUCCGGAAUUAUUGGGCGUAAAGAGCUCGUAGGCGGUGUGUCGCGUCGGCCGUGAAAACCUGCAGCUUAACUGUGGGCGUGCGGUCGAUACGGGCAUCACUGGAGUUCGGCAGGGGAGACUGGAAUUCCUGGUGUAGCGGUGAAAUGCGCAGAUAUCAGGAGGAACACCGGUGGCGAAGGCGGGUCUCUGGGCCGAUACCGACGCUGAGGAGCGAAAGCGUGGGGAGCAAACAGG